GAUGAACGCUGGCGGCGUGCCUAAUACAUGCAAGUCGAGCGAACAGACGAGGAGCUUGCUCCUCUGACGUUAGCGGCGGACGGGUGAGUAACACGUGGAUAACCUACCUAUAAGACUGGGAUAACUUCGGGAAACCGGAGCUAAUACCGGAGAAUAUAUUGAACCGCAUGGUUCAAUAGUGAAAGACGGUUUUGCUGUCACGUAUAGAUGGAUCCGCGCCGCAUUAGCUAGUUGGUAAGGUAACGGCUUACCAAGGCAACGAUGCGUAGCCGACCUGAGAGGGUGAUCGGCCACCCUGGAACUGAGACACGGUCCAUACUCCUACGGGAGGCAGCAGUAGGGAAUCUUCCGCAAUGGGCGAAAGCCUGACGGAGCAACGCCGCGUGAGUGAUGAAGGUCUUCGGAGCGUAAAACUCUGUUAUUAGGGAAGAACAAAUGUGUAAGUAACUAUGCACGUCUUGACGGUACCUAAUCAGAAAGCCCCGGCUAACUACGUG
rnacentral:rRNA from 1 species